AACGAACGCUGGCGGCAGGCUUAACACAUGCAAGUCGAGCGCCCCGCAAGGGGAGCGGCAGACGGGUGAGUAACGCGUGGGAAUCUACCCAUCUCUACGGGAUAACGCAUGGAAACGUGUGCUAAUACCGUAUACGUCCUUCGGGAGAAAGAUUUAUCGGAGAUGGAUGAGCCCGCGUUGGAUUAGCUAGUUGGUGGGGUAAAGGCCUACCAAGGCGACGAUCCAUAGCUGGUCUGAGAGGAUGAUCAGCCACACUGGGACUGAGACACGGCCCAGACUCCUGCGGGAGGCAGCAGUGGGGAAUAUUGGACAAUGGGCGCAAGCCUGAUCCAGCCAUGCCGCGUGAGUGAUGAAGGCCCUAGGGUUGUAAAGCUCUUUCACCGGUGAAGAUAAUGACGGUAACCGGAGAAGAAGCCCCGGCUAACUUCGUGCCAGCCGCCGCUGUAAUAC
rnacentral:rRNA from 1 species